UCCGUGCUGGGAACCAAAAGGGCUGUGUAGUGUAAUGGCAAAAAAAUGUGGUAGGGGGGUACUGAACCAAACAGAAGACUGGACAAAAUGGACAGAUGGACAUUUCCCUGUUGAUGGGACACUGAGCACAGAAAGAUUGGAGUCUGUGAGAGACCAACCUGAGAGUAAAGAAAGAAAACACAAGAAAGUUAAAGUGAAGUGGGACGAUUUCAGAAAGUGGGAGAGAGAAGCAGAAAAGGCAAAAGAUAAAGCUGUAAGAGGACUGAUGGUAAAGCAAGUGGAACCGGAGAAGAAAGAGGAAGAUUAAAAAAAGCCUUGGCUGGCCUUUCUCUGAGGGGAACCGUUUCAUGGGGCCCCCCUUGUAUCUGCCACUGCCAAAUCCUCCACCAGCAGACAGAGAUGGUGGCCUCCCAACCCCUCCUAACCCAGUUGGGGUUGGGCCUGUGCCAGGUGGAGCCGUGGGAUUAGGAGCUGUUGGAGGAGCUGCAGGUGCUGGAGCUGAAGACAGAAAGCUAACAGCAAAAACAGAGCGAAUGAGCAGAGAGGAACAGAGGAGAGGGAGAGUGAAGAAGAGGAGCUAGAAGAGCUCAGAAAAGAACUGGAGAAACGUAAGAGAAAAGAAGAAAGUAGAGAAACAAGAGGCAAAUUAAGGAGUGCACGCAGGAAGAAGAAAGUAGCCAAGAUGAAGAUAAAAGGAGCAGCAACGAAGGAAAAAGCAGAAAAGACUAUACAGAGAUAGUUCAACCGCUGCAGGAUUGUAUUUAUGGGAGAAAGAUGGAUGCAAUUGAAGUUGUGGUCUGGACGUAUGAGGCAGAGAUGGCAUUGGUGGAGCUGAGCACUGUUUGAGCCCAGGUGAUCUCGUGGUGGUCAAAGACUUCAGGAGAAAAAGUUGGAAGGACCUCUGUUGGAGAGGGCCGUACCAAGUUCUUCUGACCACCUCCACUGCAGUGAAGGUUGCUGAGAGAGACACCUGGAUCCACGUGUCGCACUGCUGAUGCGUUCCUGAUCCAGGAGAAGAUGAGGCCUCGCCAGUUCCGGUGGUGCAGUGUGGCCCUCCUCUGCAUUAGCACAGGAGUGCUAAUAAGAACAGUAGGUUGUCCUCUUGCUGGAAACCUGACAGAGGGUGAGCUAAGUCCCGAGCCAAAGGGGCCAACACCGGUCCGGAGUAGUGGCCCAGACGUAGAUGGUGAUCGUAGAAGGAGUCCUGAGCCAAAGGGACCAACGCAGGCCCAGAGUAGUGGCUCAGAAGUAGAUGAUCAUCGGAGAAGGAGAGCCCUGCUGGGCCUUCAUUACCAUGAGGACAAUCUGUUCAUCUCUAGAGCAGAAAUGGUUGCUAAUCUUACAUCUGGACAAAAAUAGUUUUGGGUUUGUGGGUUGGGGCCAGUUAAGGUAGGAGUUCCCAUAGGCCUAAAUCUGACUAUACAAAUGGACUUACCAUUCCUAGUAGAGAUGCCACGUAACCCUGACCCGAUGACGUUUUCUGCAUUAUACAACCACAUAGGCCCACCGUCGUUUGCUAGGCCAGAUAAUACUUUACUCCCACCCAUAUCAGUAGCAGGAGUGAUGACAGCCCCUUGGUGUAUUAGAGGAGAAGGAGGUAAUCAUUUGGGUGAACUAGAAUGUAUUUGUACAAUGUAUUACAAUGGGUCCAAUUCCUGUAAAUUAACUGUUAACAAUGCCGACACUGGAUGAGCUUCCUUAUCGCCCUGUAGAUAAGGACGAUGAGUGAGAAUUGAAGGUUGUUUUCAGUUGACAAGUUUAGAAGCCCCUAGUGGAUUUAUUAAACAACAGUUUUAUGUUUUGACUAGUCUCGGGGACAGUUGGUGCAGAACAGAUGUCACUGCAACCCGAUUGUGGUAAGAACUAUGUAAACAAUGGCUAAACAUUGAGAGAUUUAGUCAGCUCUGAGUCUACAGACCCCUUGUGUAUGUGUGUGUAUUUUAUAUUGUAAAACCCAGAAUGAAGGGUUUGAAAGGAUGAAGUGUCUGGUUAUAUAUGUUGGUUUCGCUUACUUUAAUAGAAAUAUUUUGAUAGAACCUCUGAUAGAAGCUAUAAUCUAAUGCUUACAUUAACAUUUUAAGAUAAUUAUCACAGAGUGAUAAGAGGAGGGAAUGUAAGAGAAAUUGUAUGUUUGUGUAUCAAAAUCAAUGCUACUUCUUGUAACCAAUUAGAUGGGUUCAUGCAGGUGACUGACUGAUCGUGUAUGGAGGAAUCCUCACUAUCACUGAUCCUCAACUUGGCAGUACGCCCAGAAUAUUGCUAUGGGAACAACCAAGGUAUCUCAGUUUCAAGGUCUCAACUUGGAGAGAGAGAGAGCCUCGUGAGGUAUUGGUCAGUCACAUGUGCAAGCCACCGGUAAUGAUGAAUUCAUUAAGCUAAAUCAUGCAAAUAUAACUUGUCUGUGUAUAGCCGUAUAUAAGGCAACUGCUGAGACUGCCCCAGCGGAGCUCAUGACAGACAUUCACUAUGGUGCAUUAAGUUUGUUGAAACCUCUCCAGCUAGCUGACAAAUAAAGACUGAUUCAUUUAAGAUUGA